rnacentral:lncRNA from 1 species
ACAAAAGUCGUGAGUUUUAAGUGCUUCAAAAAGAAAUCUUACUUUCAUUUUGAUCCUUAUUUUAAAAGCAAAACCUGGUAAAAGAUAGUAAGAAAGGACAUGAAAAUUGCCUUCCAUUCCAUUGCUCUGAUCUUCAUGUUUCAAUUAUUGCAAAUCCUCGAAAUUCAUGCUAAAAUUUCAUCGAUUAUAGUGUUUGGCGAUUCUACAGUGGAUUCCGGGAACAAUAACUUCAUCGCUACGGUUUUGAAAAGCGACUUCAGGCCUUAUGGUCGGGAUUUUGAUGGCGGUCAGUCCACAGGACGGUUUUCCAAUGGACGGGUUCCGACAGAUUUCAUCUCCGAGGCUUUCGGAUUGAAACCAGCCGUGCCUCCAUACUUGGAUCCAGCUUACGGUAUAAAGGAUUUUGCUUCAGGAGUUUGUUUUGCUUCAGCUGGAACUGGCUAUGAUAAUGCUACCUCUAGAGUGCUUGUAAGUUUUUCUUGGAUAUGUAUUUUAGAUCUAGCAUCAUGGUAUAUUGGACAUACCUUACCAUGCUCGUGCCCCUACCCCUACCCCUACCCCUUAUAGAUUAAAGACCGAGGGGUGGGGAUAAGUGUUAAGUUGUGGAGUUUGAUCGUUAUCGUUUUGCGAUUUUCUUUAGUGAAUUUUUUUUCAUUAUAGUAAAUUAUAGUAACAAUAAAAGAGGAUGUAGUAUCACAUUGAGACAAACUUAUAUAAAUUUUUUGUGUUCUUGAAUGUUUAUUUUUUUAUUGCUCUUGAUAGAAUAGAAUUAGGAUUUCUAAUUCUCAACGGAGAGAAAGGAGAUAGAGUCAGGUGAGAAAAAUAUGACAAGACAAAGUAAUCUCUAAAUCGAGGAGAAGCAAAUAUCGUCUUAGGAUUGUAUUUUAGCUCUUGUUUUUUUUCUCUUUUUCUUCUUCUAUUGGUUCGAGUUUUGUCUUCAUUCUUCCCAUCUCUCCAACAGUUUUAACUUCAAAACCUCUAAAUUUACCACGCUUUUAAAUAAACCGAUGCUGCAUCUAAGCCUGAUUGAAACUCCAAUUGCAGUCUGUAAUACCUCUGUGGAAAGAACUCGAAUACUUCAAGGAAUACAAAACCCGACUAGAAGGCUAUCUGGGUAGAAAGAAGGCGAAGAAAAUCUUGAGAAAAGCUCUAUACAUUAUCAGUAUGGGCACGAACGAUUUCUUAGAAAACUAUUAUGUGCUUCCACACAGAUCAUUCCAGUUUUCUCCUCAGGGCUACCAGAAGUUUUUAGUUGGCAUAGCACGAUCCUUCAUUGCCGAGAUUUACCACCUUGGAGCACGAAAGAUAUCCAUAACCGGACUCCCUCCAAUGGGCUGCUUGCCACUGGAGAGAACACUAAACUGGGGACGUUGUGUAGCAAGGUACAAUUAUGUGGCCAGGGAGUUUAACAAAAAGUUGAAAGUAUUAGUUGAAAUACUGAACGACGAGCUUUCUGGAAUUCAGCUGGUGUUCUCAAAUCCAUACUAUGUUCUUUACAAGAUCAUUCGGGAUCCUCAGUCUUUUGGUAAUAAUUCUGAUAUAAUAUUUCACCUCGAUUCUGAUCAAAUUAGUUGAUUGCUGGUACAUUGUGUGAAAUGUGAUCAACAGUUAGAUUUGCUGAUGCUUGUGAUGUGAUGAACUUUGCAGGAUUUGAAACUGCAGCAACUGCCUGCUGUGGGACGGGAAGCUUUGAGAUGGGUUAUCUAUGCAACGAACAUAAUCCCUUUACAUGUACAGAUGCGAAUCAGUACGUAUUUUGGGAUUCCUUCCAUCCUACUGAGAAAACAAAUGGCAUACUAGCAGAUCAUGCUCUCAGAACUUCUCUUGCUAUAUUUAAAGAGUAAGUUAAGAGGAGAGAUUGCAUUUAGCUUUAUUUCAUGAAUUUCUAAGAAUUUUGCUGGUACUCCUUAGGCAGGAAGAAGUUUUUAUUUGGG